CCUAACACAUGCAAGUCGAGCGAGGUAGCAAUACCUAGCGGCAGACGGGUGCGUAACAUGUGGGAAUCUGCCUUUUGGUUCGGAACAACACGGGGAAACCUGUGCUAAUACCGGAUAAGUCCUUACGGAGAAAGUUUUAACGCCAAAAGAUGAGCCCGCAUUUGAUUAGCUUGUUGGUGAGGUAAUGGCUCACCAAGGCGACGAUCAGUAGCUGGCCUGAGAGGAUGAUCAGCCACACUGGGACUGAGAUACGGCCCAGACUCC
rnacentral:rRNA from 1 species